GAUGAACGCUGGCGGCGUGCCUAAUACAUGCAAGUCGAGCGAACAGACGAGGAGCUUGCUCCUCUGACGUUAGCGGCGGACGGGUGAGUAACACGUGGAUAACCUACCUAUAAGACUGGGAUAACUUCGGGAAACCGGAGCUAAUACCGGAUAAUAUAUUGAACCGCAUGGUUCAAUAGUGAAAGACGGUUUUGCUGUCACUUAUAGAUGGACCCGCGCCGCAUUAGCUAGUUGGUAAGGUAACGGCUUACCAAGGCAACGAUGCGUAGCCGACCUGAGAGGGUGAUCGGCCACACUGGAACUGAGACACGGUCCAGACUCCUACGGGAGGCAGCAGUAGGGAAUCUUCCGCAAUGGGCGAAAGCUUGACGGGGCAACGCCGCGUGAGUGAUGAAGGUCUUCGGAUCGUAAAACUCUGUUAUUAGGGAAGAACAAAUGUGUAAGUAACUAUGCACGUCUUGACGGUACCUAAUCAGAAAGCCACGGCUAACUACGUG
rnacentral:rRNA from 1 species